CGGGGUGUUGAGGAUCAGGGGAUGGAGAAACGGGGGACCCUGGUUUUUUGGAGGACUUAUUUUUGGUCUUGUGAUGAUGGUAUCUUCCUUGUACGUUGCUUGAAUUCUGAAGGAGAAAAAUCACUAUAAUCGAAAUGACUACCAACCCGCGAACAAGCUCCAUAAGAAGGAAAGAAUUGAACUUGGAAGGACAGUAGUGUAGGCAAUCUUCAAUACUAUAAAUCUAAGGAACAAAAAGCAAGGAUAUGUUAAUGUGCGAG
rnacentral:misc_RNA from 1 species